rnacentral:rRNA from 1 species
GGGGCGGGGGGAACCAACUCUGAUUUAACGACGUUUCUUCUGAGUGGUACAAGCAAAUAAUCAAAACUUUUAACAACGGAUCUCUUGGUUCUGGCAUCGAUGAAGAACGCAGCGAAAUGCGAUAAGUAAUGUGAAUUGCAGAAUUCAGUGAAUCAUCGAAUCUUUGAACGCACAUUGCGCCCGCCAGCAUUCUGGCGGGCAUGCCUGUUCGAGCGUCAUUUCAACCCUCAAGCUCUGCUUGGUGUUGGGGCCCUACAGCUGAUGUAGGCCCUCAAAGGUAGUGGCGGACCCUCCCGGAGCCUCCUUUGCGUAGUAACUUUACGUCUCGCACUGGGAUCCGGAGGGACUCUUGCCGUAAAACCCCCCAAUUUUCCAAAGGUUGACCUCGGAUCAGGUAGGAAUACCCGCUGAACUUAAGCAUAUCAAAAUGGGGAAAAGAA